rnacentral:rRNA from 1 species
UACGGGGGGUGCAAGCGUUAAUCGGAAUUACUGGGCGUAAAGCGUGCGUAGGCGGUUUGGUCAGUCAGCCGUGAAAUCCCCGGGCUUAACCUGGGAAUUGCGGUUGAGACGGCCAGACUAGAGGGGGCUAGAGGAUCGUGGAAUUCCUGGUGUAGCGGUGAAAUGCGUAGAGAUCAGGAAGAACACCGAUGGCGAAGGCAGCGGUCUGGGGCCUUACUGACGCUGAGGCACGAAGGCGUGGGGAGCAAACAGG